CCUCCGACCACCAUGGCUCCAACCACUCAUUCACGCAAGCAGGAUCCCCCCUGAUUCAGCUGUUCUCCUCCACUCUCUAGAUCAGGUUCGUCCCCGUAGACCCCCUGCUCCUGGGCGUCUCCAUCCCUUCUCAAUCUCCCACCAAAUGUGCUUCCAGGUUGUGCCUGCAAGUAGUCAUGGAGACUUUCUUUCUCCAUAGUCUGUGAUUUGGGCUACUGCAAGUAAAAAAGUUCACCAUGUGAGAAGGAGUCAGUGCAAUAUACUGUAGGUAAGAUGUUCAUCUUUUGCGUGACCAAAAAAUUUCAUCUUCUGAAGGUUGAAGACAAAUGGGCUAUGAAGCUUUAGAUAAAAAUGAUUUGUUUCUGUAUCUAUAUUCUAGUAUUCAGCAUGAGCAGAAAGUUUGCUCCUUCGCCUCUAGCCACCGGUAGUUCAUUGUCAGUACAGGCUCUGAAACUGUCAGUACAGUCCGUUCACCGCUGACACACGAGGCCGUUCAACAAUGCAAUGAUGAGGUCUGGACUUUCCCUUGACUCUUUUUAUGUAGCAUUUUCUGAAAAAUAUCACACUUUCAACUGCCUCAAGAGUUCAAAAGUCUAAACAAACAAAAGCUGAAACU
rnacentral:lncRNA from 1 species